rnacentral:rRNA from 1 species
GACGAACGCUGGCGGCGUGCUUAACACAUGCAAGUCGAGCGGUAAGGCCCUUUCGGGGGUACGACGAGCGGCGAACGGGUGAGUAACACGUGGGUGACCUGCCCUCCAGCUCUGGGAUAAGCCCGGGAAACUGGGUCUAAUACUGGAUAUGACUCCAUGACGCAUGGUUGUGGGGUGGAAAGCCUUGUGCGGCUGAGGAUGGGCCCGCGGCCUAUCAGCUUGUUGGUGGGGGAUGGCCUACCAAGGCGACGACGGGUAGCCGGCCUGAGAGGGCGACCGGCCACACUGGGACUGAGACACGGCCCAGACUCCUACGGGAGGGCAGCAGUGGGGAAUCUUGCGCAAUGGGCGAAAGCCUGACGCAGCGACGCCGCGUGAGGGAUGACGGCCU